AGGACGAACGCUGGCGGCGCGCCUAACACAUGCAAGUCGAACGGAGUUGAGAGGAGCUUGCUUUUCUUAACUUAGUGGCGAACGGGUGAGUAACGCGUGAGUAACCUGCCCUGGAGUGGGGGACAACAUUUGGAAACAGAUGCUAAUACCGCAUAACAACAAAAACCACAUGGCUUUUGUUUGAAAGAUGGCUUUGGCUAUCACUCUGGGAUGGACCUGCGGUGCAUUAGCUAGUUGGUAAGGUAACGGCUUACCAAGGCGAUGAUGCAUAGCCGAGUUGAGAGACUGAUCGGCCACAAUGGAACUGAGACACGGUCCAUACUCCUACGGGAGGCAGCAGUGGGGAAUAUUGCACAAUGGGGGAAACCCUGAUGCAGCAACGCCGCGUGAGUGAAGAAGUAUUUCGGUAUGUAAAGCUCUAUCAGCAGGGAAGAAAAUGACGGUACCUGACUAAGAAGCCCCGGCUAACUACGUG
rnacentral:rRNA from 1 species